rnacentral:rRNA from 1 species
UUGCAUAUCCAAAAAGCGGAGGAAAAGAAACCAACAGGGAUUGCCCUAGUAACGGCGAGUGAAGCGGCAACAGCUCAAAUUUGAAAGCUGGCCUUCGGGUCCGCAUUGUAAUUUGUAGAGGAUGCUUUGGGGCAGCCGCCUGUCUAAGUUCCUUGGAACAGGACGUCAUAGAGGGUGAGAAUCCCGUAUGUGACAGGACAUGGCACCCUAUGUAAAGCUCCUUCGACGAGUCGAGUUGUUUGGGAAUGCAGCUCUAAAUGGGAGGUAAAUUUCUUCUAAAGCUAAAUACCGGCGAGAGACCGAUAGCGCACAAGUAGAGUGAUCGAAAGAUGAAAAGCACUUUGGAAAGAGAGUUAAAAAGCACGUGAAAUUGUUGAAAGGGAAGCGCUUGCAAUCAGACUUGUUUAAACUGUUCGGCCGGUCUUCUGACCGGUUUACUCAGUUUGGACAGGCCAGCAUCAGUUUCGGCGGCCGGAUAAAGGCCCUAGGAAUGUGACCCCCUCUUCGGAGGGGGUGUUAUAGCCUGGGGUGUAAUAUCGGCCAGCCGGGACUGAGGUCCGCGCUUCGGCUAGGAUGCUGGCGUAAUGGUUGUAAGCGACCCGUCUUGAAACACGGAC